UACGUAGGGUGCAAGCGUUAAUCGGAAUUACUGGGCGUAAAGCGUGCGCAGGCGGUGAUGUAAGACCGAUGUGAAAUCCCCGGGCUUAACCUGGGAACUGCAUUGUGACUGCAUUGCUGGAGUAUGGCAGAGGGGGGUGGAAUUCCACGUGUAGCAGUGAAAUGCGUAGAGAUGUGGAGGAACACGAUGGCGAAGGCAGCCCCCUGGGCCAAUACUGACGCUCAUG
rnacentral:rRNA from 1 species